CUGCACCCAUGAACGCUUGCUGGGCCCUGCUGCUGCUGGUGGCUUGAGACUGCAGCCGGGUGCCAGCCCGCCCCAGAAAAAGUUCACGAGAUAGUGUAGCAGGAGCGUUUCAGGGAUUAUGGAAGAUCACAUCACACAUCUGGCCCCAGGCUUCACCCUUAAGGACUUGUUCCAGCAGCGGCGAGCGUGACCGCCUUCUGGGGUCUGCUGGGACCAGGUGGCUUCAACAGUCUCUACCAAAUGUCCUUCCAGCAGUGGAACCGCUUUCCCCCGUGUGGCCCGAGAUCCUCCCGGCCCCUACUCUGUUCCUGGGGAUUCACCCUUCCCACCGGAGCACCGCCAGAGUUAAACUUAAGGACUCUGAAAGGUCAUGAAGAUGCCCUGAAGUUCUUCAAGUCACGUUUGAGCCCUUCGGGUCUUUCCAGCUGCAGGUCCUAAGUGGGUGAAGACUAAUGACUGCUUUUUGGAGGCUGACGAGAAUACAUCUAAGAUGUAAUAAUGGAAGCUGUGUGAAGCUCUUAAUUUUCCCUCUUCCUCUGGAAACAGGCCGCAUCUCUUACCACAGUGAAUUGACGGGCUGGGAAUGAACAGCUCAAUUAACAACUCCAACUUCCACUGGGAGAUCAGUAACUUUUCAAAGAAUCUUUGUUCACUGUCUUCCCCCCUCCCCUCACCCCCCUCAGCCCUUUGGCUACACAGGCAAAAAUUAAAAUUCAUUUUUACCUUC